CAAUCAUGUAGUUUUGGCGGAAAUUUCCCCAUCAUUCUAGGAUGAUACAGAAAGAAAAAAUGUGCCUGGACCCUCCCUCUUGGUGGGUCUGUGGAAACAUAAGCGGUUUUUUAAUGGACCCCUGCAUCAAUACCAAAAAUGGGGGUUUGGUAAUGAGAAACAAGGACAGGCCAUCUGCAGUGACCCAGCCCAGGACGAAGUUUACAAACACCUCCUGGAACGAAGCUCCCACCUGCAUGUCACCUUGAUGGGGGCUGUGAGCGGGCAGUGUGAUGCCCAGUGACUAGACGCACUCUGCGUUUUCCCGUGUUUGAGGCUGAGGCCUGCUGGACAGAUGGCUGGCCAAGUGGGAGCAGACCCCAGGGAGUUUGCACCUUGGCUGGGCCGGAUUCGGACCGGCUCUGUAUUCACUACACUCGGAAUAGCCUGGCUGCUUCUCUGUCUCCGAGACCGAAGGCAGUGGGAACCAACAGUCGGGCUGGAGAGUUGGCGCUGGCAAAACAGUCCUUCCCCUGGGGCUGGUUCUCACCCAGGUCCAGAGAAACCAACGCGGGAGAUGUCAGACUUCACCAAAAGGACUUUCUGGUUGCCCCGGCUGGCUUCCUGGAGGCGUUCGCCUCUAGUUUCUCAGGGAUGGAGCGAGAGCCCAGCCAGAGAACAGUAAGAGGAGCUGCUCUCCUAUCUGCACUCACCCAGGCCUUCACUGAGACUUUACCACUGAGGGGGCUGAGUGCAGCUGCAGCUAGGUCCGCGUCCCUCACUCUUUGCAUCUUCUGCACAUUCUUCGUGAAACUGGAAGGAUCCCGGGUCUCAGCCAGAACACGGUGGAAGAGAACUUUCCUAGGAAACGGUUCAUGUGUCACUUUUCAGGAUGUGGAAACGCUGGGACUCAUACACCCUCCAUUGCUUGGUGCUGGGACUGUGUGGCCUCCACUCGGCACUUGCCAACCUGAGUCUGGGGCCAGGGGAGCCCAGGCUGCCCUGCACUCCUGCCUCCCAGCCCACAGCCAGGUGAUUUCAUCACAGCUAAGCCUGGUUCCUUCCAAACCUCCCACCCACUCGGGCUUGUAACUGUCCGAGCCCCGGAUCCGGUGGGGUGAAAGCAGCCAGCUCCUCAUCUCAGUGACUCACAGGACAUGGCCAUCCAGUGGCAUCUUUCCUUGUUGAAUGAUACUGUAAUGACCUUCCAAAAUGAAAAGUAGCACAUUAAAGUGAUUUUAUUGUUUCCUGUUUCUCAUUCUGAUUCCUUUUUCCUCCUAUGUUGCCAGAUUCUGGAACAGAACCCCAGCCCUUCCAGAUCUGAGAGCCACUCUUUCUUUGCUCUGGAUUUCUGUCAUGUCGGGGGCCUCUCCCUCUGCAGAGUUGCAUGUUGCUGUUCCUGAUGCACAGACUCCUCCCCUGCUGCUUUUCUGCCCACUGGCUCAGGAUCUGCCAUUCUUUACAAGUUUCCUUAACGUAUUGCGUCAAAGCGAGACAACUGAGUCUUAUUCAAACUUGUUUUAACCAGAGAUGGAGGAUCGCUGCUAUGUCACCGCCUGCACAGGGCCGCCCUCAGGCCAGCUUCCUGGGGCUUACUCCAAGGGCAUCGGCUUGCCCCACACUGUGGUGGGAUGUAAAGUGAUAACAGCUAAACGACGCAUGCACAGCAUGUCCUGGUGCCUUCCACGUGACCCCAGAGCAGCAGGUUCUGCACGUGGCAGCCUGGAGUGCAAUGGCGCGAUCUCAGCUCACUGCAACCUCCGCCUCCCUGGUUCAAGCAAUUCUACUGCCUCAGCCUCCCGAGUAGUAGUAUCUCCUGUAAUCCUGAGAUUACAGGCCCCCGCCACCAUGCCCAGGAGAUACUUGAAAGGGACCAUGCCCCGCCGAAGCCCCGUCUCGUGUGGAAGAAUGUCAUCUCCAGUGUCUGCCGCCUCCUCCCCGCAAAGUCUCCCACAAGCACAGGACAAGGGGUGCUUCCAGCAUCUCCUAGGAGCUGACGACGUGUCCGGACCAGGUCUCAUGCUUGGUGCCUGGUGCCAGGGAACUGUGGAACACAUCGCAGAGAGAGCUCAGGUGCCACGUUUCAAUCCCUGAGCAGCUCUCACAAGCCUGCACCCAGGACUGGGGGGCCUGCUGGGGGAGCCCAAAGGACCCAAAGGGAAAGGGAGAAUUUCCAAGGCUGCAUCCAUCUCCAUCCAGCUCCAUCAGGCCCAGUGAAUUUCCACACAACCUGGUCGCCGCUGCUGUUAUAAAAUCAGAUUCCUUCUGUGACCCCUAGUAUGCACCCGUAAACCCGGCUGGAGGGAGGGAAUUCCUUAGCUACUGCUGUGCUUUUAACAAUUUUUCAAGAG
rnacentral:antisense_RNA from 1 species